AAGAGAACUGCCUUCAGUGCUGGCCCGCUCGGGCAAGUGCACGUCGGUGACUUUCAUCCAAUACCCUGUGCACCAUUGGCCUCUGCUAGCUUUGGCCGGCAGAGGAAUUUUACACCUACUCGAAUGUAAUGAAAUUAGUGUGUGCGUAAGCACAAUGUA
rnacentral:misc_RNA from 1 species